GCCAGUGUGAUAUAGUGGUUUGACUGUUGGACUACGACUCUGGAGACAGGGUUCAAUUCCCUGCUCAGUGA
rnacentral:tRNA from 1 species